UACGUAGGUGGCAAGCGUUGUCCGGAUUUACUGGGCGUAAAGAGCGCGCAGGCGGUCGUCCAAGUCGCGUGUGAAAGCCCCCGGCUCAACUGGGGAGGGUCACGCGAUACUGAUCGACUCGAAGGCAGGAGAGGGUAGUGGAAUUCCCGGUGUAGUGGUGAAAUGCGUAGAUAUCGGGAGGAACACCAGUGGCGAAGGCGACUACCUGGCCCGAUACUGACGCUGAGGCACGAAAGCGUGGGGAGCAAACAGG
rnacentral:rRNA from 1 species